GAUCAGAGGAAACGACGCAGAAGAUUUGUUCCUACAUGUAGAUGCACAUUUGGAUUUGAAGGACGAUGGUGUCAGAAAAAAAAACAAUGAUAAGAUAUUAUCAAUACUGAAAUGAAACUUGCACUAUCGUAGGUAUAAAACUUACAACAAAUAUGUAGCUAUAACCAGAGAUAAAAUAAUGUUCACACAUAACUAGAAAUACAUGAUGUCCACAAAUUCUGGUAAUGUGCGUUGAAGUUUUGAUAAAAAUGAAAUUUUGCUGUGGAGUAACUUUGGAGAUAUUUUUAAGAAGUUUACUUAAAUUGUAACUAGAUUUUAUUCAAGAGGAGCUGUACAUUUUUUCACUUUUUUUCUCAUUCAGGAUAUACAUAUUUAUCAUAUUCACAUUGCAUGUAUUUUUUGGAAAGUUAAAUAACUUUAAAAUACACUGUAUGUAAAAGCUCCUUUAUAAUAAAAAUGAUCAUAAACAGUGUCAGAAAACAAUAAUUUUAAAUCUGAAUUUUUGCCGAAGUUUCAUUUUACAUUCUUCACGACUGAAUGAUUGUUAUAGACACGACAAGGUUAAAAGCACAUUGUUGUAUGCAGAAAUAAGCAAUUCAAGCACAAUUUCGCAUCUUUGAAGUUAUUUCAAGUCAAUAAGCAAGUUCCGCGGAAAUUUAUGAAAUUUAAGAAGGCAUUCUUUUUGUUUAUAAACAACGCAUUUCUGUACAAUGUCGAUGGCCAUAGUUAAAGUCAAAAACGUGAUUGGCAUAUAGCUGAGGUGAAAAACUACAUUUACAAAAUGUCUACAGUAAAACCUAAUGCUAUUGAGUGAAGAAUGAAAAGUGUUGAAAGUCGUUUUUUGUUGUUGUUUUAUAUACGUUACUUGAAGUUGCUCGAAUGAAAUUGUCCUUCGUUCGUAUGAAACAAAAACGCUAAAAAAGACGAAACCAGCCUGAUUUUUCAAACAUGCAUGAUGCAUGCUAAAAACCUAUUUAUUUUAAUAUAUUUCCAAUUUAGUA